UGUAGCGAGGCGAAUGCAUGAGAAACGCCGGGGAAGGGUGAUUUAUUACCAGGGAGAAGGAUGAUUUACUGCCGAGGAGCACAGCCCCCCUCUCCAGGAGCAUUUUAAUGGGCUGCAACCCUGAGAGCCUGGCGCAUCCCGAGCACACAGGGAUCACGCACAUCUCCACACCGCCGGCGCAGGGGACGUGCCGGCUGCACACAUCGUCCCUUCUCCGAGGGGCUGGAUGUUCCCACCUGCCUCUCCCAUCCCUGCGGGUCGAGGAUUUGGUUCAGUUGAUGUACACUGAUUUCCCUGAAGGUACGCACAGCACAAGGAUCCAAACAGAACAAGCAAAGAUCACAAGUUCAGAGCAAACUUUCAUAUCCCUUUUUAAUUCCUAGCUCAAUCCUAGAUGAAUUUCAGGCAGUUUCAGUUGACUUUGUACAGCAAUUUUCCCAGAAAGGAAAGAUGCAACUAACAUUUUCUUGAAAGCUCCAGCUAAAGUAAGAGCCAAACCCUGGGUAAGAGACAUGGUGACCUUGAUGGCAAAUAAACAGAAGAAACGUGAAUCAGAAACACUCGGAGUACUCCACAGCCACCUCCCAUGACAUCAGGCACCUCAGCUGCAGAAAAUGUCACCUCUGGCAACCAGAUGAUAUGGAUGAAAAUUUCUAGGAAAAGGGAAGAAAGAAAGAAAAAGGAUUUACUUUUAUUCUAAGAAACAUCAGGUGCCGCUGCCCUCCUCAAGGAGAAGAUUGAAAAAUCAUUUCCUGGUUAGCCAGGGGCUGUUGGGGUUUUUGUUCCUUAACAAGGAGACAUGGCAAAACCUAAUGAAGGAGGAGGAUGAAGCACGUGCAGCCCCCUGAAGCUGAUAGGAAAGUGCUGCUCCUUCAACCCCUGGGACAUGGGGCUGGCAGCUGCCUGCACUUGGAGCACAUCUCUGCCCAUGCCAUGGAACAGGGCUCUGAAGAGCCAGCCCAAAUUUGGGGGAGCUGAAAAUGUUUAUGGCAGCCUCAGAAUCCAGCAGCAAAUUCGUGCUGCCAUAAGUGUGAGCCCUGCUGGCACUGCCACAAACAUCCACAGCAGUGAAUUCCAGCUUCUUACCCUUGCCAGACUAUUCACCUUCUCCAAACCUGUUUGCAGUUCAUUGUUUGCUUUGAGCAGGGACGUUCCCCCACCCGCUCUGGGCAGGUCUGCCAGCACCAUCCUCUUCCUCCCAUCCCAGGAAUGACACAGGGACCUUUUCCAUCCCCAGAAAUCCCUUUGCCACUGCUGAGCCUACACAGUGGGUGCAUUAAAGCACCAGCCAGAUCUCUGCUUCAUCACAGCCUCAGAUGAUGGGGUGUGUUUUAAAAGCAUGGGAAAGCCUUUAAGAAGUCAUUUAGGAAAUUCUUUUUGUCAGUUCCCAGGUCAUCCCUCAAGCUGUGGCUCAGUGCCAGGAGCAGGGGCUGUGUCCUCCCCAGCUCUGAGCAGAAUCUUCAGAAGGUGUAGCUCUCUGCAGAUGCCAAAGCAAGCCUGUUCCCUGCUGUGGCACUUCCUGUUGGGAUGAGACCUGUUGUACAAACCUGCAGGAACAGGAGAAGCCUCAGGAGCAUCAGGAUCCAGAUAAGGUGUGUCCCUUCCAACCCAAACCAUUCUGGGAUUGUCCCAGAUGCAGUUUGGGACCCUGGGAUGAACCCACUGGUGGCUCUGGCCCCAUCCCUGAGCUCUGACUCGCUGUCCUGGGAGCCCACUGGUACUUGGAAUAAGAGCAGAGCUGCUGCACUGAUUCACCUGGGACUCCACCAAGGGAUUCAGACAGGGAUGAAGGUUUCCAAGAUCAUUUCUCCUGGGAUGCCAUGUUACACUGGGCCCUGCUGAGGGACAUGUCUGAGCUUUUCCCAACCCAGCUGAGCAGCGGCUGCUCCUGCUCCUUUUGCCAUCCAUCCCCUCAAAGGCACUGGAAAUUUGCUCCAUGGCUUUUUUCCUGCCUAACUCCUGGUUUUGUCCUUUAUGUGUAAAGCGAAACUCACCCAUAUCUGGAUCACAGACACACGCUCCCCUUCCCAAAUCCCUGUCUCCCAGCAAGGCCAGUGCAAGUGUCUCAAGGUUGCUCUUCAGAUCAUGAAUUUAUGUGGCUUUGGGCUGAAUACUUGAAAGAGUUGUUUGGUGAUUACAUCCUUGGAUGUUGAGAUGCAGUUGCUUAAAUACAGCCCCUACAUUUUCUUUUUUUUUUUUUAAUGUGAAAACAUUUAUGUCUGAAGAUAGCUGCUGUCCAGAGACUGACCUCUUUUAAGAGUACAGCUGUAUUUUUCUGGCCCAUCUUCUUUUUGCCUCCUCAUGCAGUAUUUGUUUCCUGAAAGAAAACAACAGAUCAAUUUUGCUUCAUUAUGUUCACUUCACAUUUUUAGAGAUUCCUUAUAAAAUUUGCUGUACUGUUCCACCCUGUUUGUCUGAAAGGUUGUGGGAACUUGAAGCAUCGUUAGACCCUUGACAGGAAUUAUUUCUGCCUACAAUUUACCAUCUCUGCUUGGAGAAAAGCCUCAAAUCAAAGGCAGGAGAGCUGCCCUGGAGCUUGUUAGCUGUGUGAGGCUGUGCUCUCUGUGCAGAUCACAUCAACAGCUCACCCAGGGCUUCCAAAACCUCCUGAUGUUUUGUGGAAGAAACCCCAAGCCCCAAACAGGACUUUGCUCCCCAUAUCAUGCUCCCAGAUUACAAUGCCCAGCUCAUCUGCAGCAACUUUUUUCAACACCAAAACCCUAGUGGUAAAAAAUCCCUCAGCUCCUAAUCUGUGUUUACUCCACGUUCUACAUAAAAGAUUCCCAAACCCAAUUUGAUAAGAGCAUAUUCAAUAGUACUGAUGAAAAUAAUGGCUCUGAUUUGGCCCCUGGUUCCUCAUACUCUCCCACUCCUCUACCUUUAGUCUCAAGCUUUGAGGCGCAUCCUGAUGUUCAGUUUGUGCCUGUGGAGCUUCUGCCAUGGCCUGGGAGUGGGUUUCUGGAUGCUGCUGCUGUACAAGUGCUGGGAGCUGUGCCCUCACACUUUGGUUGCAACCACUGCUUCACUCCUCCAAUGCCAAAAAUGAGGGGGAACAUUCUGAAAACACAACAAUUUGUAAUUUUUUCCACUUGGCCAGAGAAAUUCACUAAACCAAGUUUCCUUCUACUUUGCAAUAUGUUCUUGAGAGAGCACUCAGGCAAUAAAAACACUGCCUUCUGUGGACUAAAA